rnacentral:pre_miRNA from 1 species
AUAGGUUUACUCAAAUUUCAAGUGUAGUCACUUGUUGGAUACAGAAUUAAAAUUAUGCAUCCAACAAGUGACUACACUUGAAAUUUGAGUAAACCUAUAAG